UGUCCAGAGCUGCCAGCUCACAAAGUGAGCUCUCUGGAAGCUUAUUCUUGGGCUGCUGGCUCCCAGCCCAAACAAACGGAAAGGCUCCCUCAGAAGCUCUCUUCUCUCCCGGCUCAUUCAGAGCAAGUAAACGCGAUGAAAGCUCCAGAUGGAGCCCCAAGGUGGACCCUGAGCUGAAGACGGCCCUCCAGGGCCAUGGCAGCUGGGGCCAGAAAUGUAACAAACAGACAAAGCUGCUCACUGACAGGAGAAACACCUACGACCAGACCUGCUCAGGAGCCACCUCUAAAAAGAACCGCACUCUGUAGGCAGAUUUCGUCCCUUAUCUGAUGAUCGGCGUUAUCAAACAUAUCAGCAACUGGCAUGCGGCUUCUUCCUACCCACUGGGAUGGCAGAGUCUGAGACAGAGAAAAGGGGACGCAUUAGCAGGCAAACCGUGAGCCGGAACCCCUUACCCGCCAAUCCUACACACAGACGAAAUGCCAUGGACACUCAACAGGCCCCCAUGGCUCAGUCAUGGGGCAUAGCUCACCUGGCCAGGGUGGGCCUACUUUAACUGUCUCCCAGUCAGAGCUGAGGAGGAGUGAGAUGCUGAGGAGGCCCUUUGCAGGCGCGCCUUCCUUCCACAACCUCAACCCCGCUGACCAAGCCCGACGAUGCAGCUGGCGGACCCAACACUGCAGACGGUCAGCGCCCCCUCACCUGGCCCUCCGUCCCCAGAGCCACUCCUGUGUGUGGCAGGCCCUACCAGUCCAUCACAGCCCAG